AUCAACGCUGGCGGCAUGCCUAACACAUGCAAGUCGAACGAGAAAGUGGAGCAAUCCAUGAGUAAAGUGGCGCACGGGUGAGUAACACGUGACUACCUACCUUUGAGUGGGGGAUAACCCCGGGAAACCGGGGCUAAUACCGCAUAACACCGAGAGGUCAAAGGAGCAAUUCGCUUAAAGAGGGGGUCGCGGCUGAUUAGCUAGUUGGUAGGGUAACGGCCUACCAAGGCGACGAUCAGUAUCCGGCCUGAGAGGGUGAUCGGCCACACUGGAACUGAGACACGGUCCAGACUCCUACGGGAGGCAGCAGUGGGGAAUUUUGCACAAUGGGGCUAACCCUGACUGCAGCAACUGCCGCGUGGAGGAUGAAGUCCUUGGAUUGUAAACUCCUUUCGACUCGGAGCGACCCGACCUACUUCGGGAGUUUGUACCGUGAAGAAGAAGCCCCGGCUAACUCUGUGCCAGCAGCCGCGGUAAUACAGAGGGUGCAAGCGUUAGUUCGGAAUUAUUGGGCGUAAAGGGCGCGUAGGCGGCUUGGGCUAAGUGAUUUGUGAAAUCCUCGGCUUCAACUCGGAGUACUGCCGGCGCAAACUGCCGUCGCUUGAGUACCGGGAGAGGUGAGUGGAAUUCCCUGGUGUAGCGGUGAAAUGCGUAGAUAUUAGGAGAAACACCAGUGGCGAAGGCGGCUCACUGGACCGGUACUGACGCUGAUGCGCGAAAGCGUGGGGAGCAAACGGGAUUAGAUACCCCGGUAGUCCACGCCGUAAACGAUGAGUGCUUGGUGUAGCGGGUAUCGACCCCUGCUGUGCCGAAGUCAACACAUUAAGCACUCCGCCUGGGGAGUACGGUCGCAAGGCUGAAACUCAAAGGAAUUGACGGGGGCCCGCACAAGCGGUGGAGCAUGUGGUUUAAUUCGAAGCAACGCGAAGAACCUUACCUGGGCUUGAAUUGCAGACGUAAGCCUCAGGAGAUGAGGUCCCCUCUUCGGAGGCGUCUGUGAAGGUGCUGCAUGGCUGUCGUCAGCUCGUGUCGUGAGAUGUUGGGUUAAGUCCCGCAACGAGCGCAACCCUUGCCCAUAGUUGCUAACGCGUUAUGGCGAGAACUCUAUGGGGACUGCCGGUGAUAAACCGGAGGAAGGUGGGGAUGACGUCAAGUCCUCAUGGCCUUUAUGUCCAGGGCUACACACGUGCUACAAUGGACGGUACAAAGAGUUGCGAUGCCGCAAUGUGGAGCUAAUCUCAAAAAACCGUUCUCAGUUCGGAUUGCAGUCUGCAACUCGACUGCAUGAAGCUGGAAUCGCUAGUAAUCGCGGAUCAGCACGCCGCGGUGAAUACGUUCCCGGGCCUUGUACACACCGCCCGUCACAUCACGAAAGUCGGUUGCACUAGAAGUCGGUGGACUAACCCGCAAGGGAGGCAGCCGCCUAAAGUGUGAUCGGUAAUUGGGGUG
rnacentral:rRNA from 1 species